GCCAGGCCUGGUGGCACAUGCCUGUAAUCCUAGCAGUUUGGGAGGCUGAGGCAGGAGGAUUGUGAGUUCAAAGCCAGCCUCAGCAAAAACCAGGUGCUAUGCAACUGAGGGAGAUCCUGUCUCUA
rnacentral:sRNA from 1 species